GAAAGAACAAAAAGAAAAAUCUCUAAAAAUGAAACUCUCUCAGUUUGCGAAACUUGUCAUCAUCAUCACGCUUAUUGCAUAUCUGCCACUGCUACCAAAACUGGUUAUGAGAAGAAGAAGAAAGGUUUUGAGGAGAAGAAAGUACAAGCCGGAACGAAGUGGGUCGGAGCCGUGUACGGAGGACGAUUGUGGGUUCGUCUGCCGUCACCGUGAUCUACUCCCGUACGGUUGCCCCGGCGUCAACUGCUUUUGUUUGGAUUAAUUACAAAAAUUAUCUGAAAUUAAACGAUAUUAAAGUUAUGUAAAAGUUACUUUUACUCAGUAAAAAAAGAAGGAAAUAAAGAACGGCUUUUACCUAUA